UUGGUGCAUCACGUAAUGCAUGUCAGCCAGGCGAGGCAGAAUGGCGCUCAUUUCUUCGAAAGUGCCACCUAAUGGAGAGUAUAUAGCUUUAAGUUAGGUUAGGGUCAAUAUUGGCGAUACACGCGGCGUUGUAGCGGCUUGAGUGGACGACACGACCUUUUCGGCGGGAAGUUCAGACGCACGGAGUGGAGCGAAGCGGGACAGGCUGAAUCCUGGCAUGGAACCAAAUGUGAACAAGAAUCAAAAUUCCUCAACAGCCUCGAGGGACCCGAGUCAGGAUCCGAGCCAGAGCGAGAAGGUUACACAGAACCCAGUGACCACGCAAGAGUCUGAUCUACAUGCCUCGAGUAACCCGAGUCAGGAUCCGAGCCCAAGCGAGAGGGUUACAGAAAUCCCAGUGACAACACAAGUCUGACCUACAGGCGAUGCCAUCACCAACAGACUGCCUCAACCUCUAUGACGCCAGCUGGGGGGGGGAGGCUGGAGAAGGUGAGGCGGAUACUGUCUGCAGGUAAAGUCAAUAUCAACUGUAGAGUUGAGGAGUAUAGCAGAACACCAGUGAUGGAGGCAGCAUACAAGGGACGCAGAGGGAAGGUGAGGCGGAUCCUUUCUGCAGGUAAAGUCAACAUCAACUGUAGAGUUGAAGAGUACAGCAGAACACCAGUGAUGGAGGCAGCAUACUAGGGACACAGAGAAGUGGUGGAGCUCCUUGUGAGUUAAGGCGCCGAUGCCACUGGUGGACGAUGACGGUAACACCAUCCUUCUUUUCCUUCCACCUGUUAUGGAGGAGACCUGGAGACAGUGAAGUUAGGCCUGUCUUUGAACGUAGCGGUCAUCAACAGUAGAGGAUGGGGGCAGCAGGACAUCGGUGGUGUCGGCAGUAUGGGAGGGCUUACAGAGAAAUAGUGGAACUCCUUGUGAGCAAAGGUGCUGAUGUGUUGGACGAUUACGGUGACAACACCCUCCCUUGGGCCUGUCGGGAAGGAGACUUAGAGACGCAGUCCAGUUUUGACGCCAGGAACAACAGUGGGUAGACAGCAGCCGACAAGGCGAGACUGGGGAUAUCAGCGAGUGGUGGAUCCCGUGGAGUCCCAUGACGCUGAGUGACAUCAGUGGAGUGUUUGUGUAGACGGUGAAGGAGGAUGGUGUCAUGGACAGUAGCAUGGUCUGCCGCACUAGUCGUCAUGUGUAAAUGUGUCAUGAUUUAAUUGAAACUGUUAUUGAAGAUAAUUAAAACUUGUAGAAUGUGAAAUUGGGCCCGUGACUGAGUUUGGGAUGCAGUGAUGCACACAAUUAUCACAGACAUAUUCAUGGUUCUAAUACCUGUUCUUUCGAUUCCCGACAUGGGUACAAUGUGUGAAGCCCAUUUCUGGUGUCUCCCGCCUGAUAUUGCUGGGAUAUUGCUAAAAGCGGCUUAAAACCAUACUCACCCACUCACUAAUACCUAAUCUUUUAAGAAUCCUAGACAUUACUUCUUUUCAUGUCGCAACUAUUGCAAUCUUCGUAGUUAUAUGUAGUGCUGCAUAAAAGGAUAUGAUUCACAUUUUUUGGAAAUGCUCAAACAUCUACUGAUAGUAACCUUGCUGUUACACAAUUCACUUGUUUUCACUGUAAAGUAAAAAGAUUUAACAUUUA